rnacentral:rRNA from 1 species
AUUGAACGCUGGCGGCAUGCUUUACACAUGCAAGUCGAACGGCAGCACGGGUGCUUGCACCUGGUGGCGAGUGGCGAACGGGUGAGUAAUGCAUCGGAACGUGCCCAUGAGUGGGGGAUAGCCCGGCGAAAGCCGGAUUAAUACCGCAUACGCCCUUAGGGGGAAAGCGGGGGAUCUUCGGACCUCGCGCUAUUGGAGCGGCCGAUGUCGGAUUAGCUAGUAGGUGAGGUAAAGGCUCACCUAGGCGACGAUCCGUAGCUGGUCUGAGAGGAUGAUCAGCCGCACUGGGACUGAGACACGGCCCAGACUCCUACGGGAGGCAGCAGUGGGGAAUUUUGGACAAUGGGCGCAAGCCUGAUCCAGCCAUGCCGCGUGAGUGAAGAAGGCCUCGGGUUGUAAGACUCUUUCUAGGUGGAAGAAA